CCUCGACCCCCUGCGGCCCGGCCCUCCCCCUCGCGCUCCUUCUCCCCUCCCACCAGACACCGCAGCCACUUCCGCCUGUCCUCCGGACUCCAUCAUCAACGCGGGACACCAGGGGGCGGGGCGUAGGCUGAGGCCUAGAGCGGGAGCGUGCGUCACUCAGUGCGGCGCGAGAAGCAGCGCGCUUGCGCCGCCGGUCCUCCAGCCGGUCGCUCGCGUUGACGCUCUGGCUGCCAGAGGUGGCAGGAACUAGGGCGGAAAGUGGAGGCGGGACCUGCGUGGCUGCCCUGCCUCUGUCCUGAUGCCAGGAGGUCGCCUAGCAACUGCCUGGUGGAAGUAGCUUCUAGGGUCACGGACCCUUUUAGGCACUCUUUAUGCUAGCAAGCCAAAGCCUGUUCUAACAAACCUGUUACUGAGCUGAGCUGCCUGAGUAGCAGUGCCGGAAAAAGUUUUAUUUCAUUCAUCACUAUUUUCCACUGCCUCGCUGGAUGAGUUUUGCUGUCCUGAAGCUCACUGGGUAAACCAGGCUGUCCUCAAACUCAAGGAGAUCCAUCCUCUCCUGGGAUCACACCACAACUUCAAAAGCUGCCAGGAGCCAUCUAGGAGGCGCUAAAGACUACCAGGUACAGAAGUCUCAGAAAGAUCGCAUUGCCUAGCAUCAGGAGCAAGGGCGUUACUGUUACAGAGCAGGAGAGAGCAAGAUUAGAGGAAGAGAUCAAAGAAGAACUUCUUUGGAGAAUUUUAAAGAAAGAACUUGUUAAGAGAACUUUUAGAGAGAGAACUUUGUGGAGAACUUAGAAAUAAAGAUUAAAAUCACUUUUCAAGGUGUCCCUUUUUCUUCCUGUGACUUUCAUUAGC
rnacentral:lncRNA from 1 species